UUAUCCGCUAGAACUAGCUCAUAUGUAAACGGGCCAUAAGCAAAACAAUUGCUUAGUUUGUUCUCCGCUUUCGCAAGUACGUUUCCGCCGCGUUUCCUGCCGAGGACGACCGGGCGCAGUGAUCCGACAUCAAAUUAUUGAAAGCUAAGGACUUUCUACGAAAACCUGAGUUCCGUUUGAGGAGAUCUCUCUGGCGAAUUUCCAGAUCCCCAUUACUAAAACCCUCAUUCGCCUGGAAGUCGAUGGGAUUCACAAUAUCACGUAACACCCGAAGUGCGGAAAAGUGAAGGUAAAGGAAAUGCAGAAACCAGCACCAUGCACUUCGUUCGAUCGCGACAACCGUAGCAUCAACCGGGAGGUUGCAAUAAACUGCACUGCGUGUUCCACAAUGGAGUCUCAACCACGCAGGCUCCCAACUUCUAUCCGGGUUUCUGAGCAUAAGGAAAAUAUGGUGUGUGGAUCCUGAUUUCUGUUAUGUUAACAGUAAGAUACAGAGACGUAUUGGAUUUGAGACUCUGACUAUGUAUUUAAGUUGUUUUCUUAUAAGGGCGAUAUUGCAUCAUGAGUGCUGUCCAAUGAGCAGCUCGAGGUAGCUCGAAGUUGUUCCCGUCCUGCUCGUUCUUUUUUUGGCAACAAAUGGACAUGAGAGGGAUGGGAAUAGCUUCGAGCUACUUCGAGCUGCUUAUUGGACAGCACUAUGAUAAGCUUUACCCCCUUUAUCGAAGCACGAAAAACAAUCAGGUACCGUUGUCCGGUGUGGGCAGAAUGGAAGUUAUUUAUGAAUAAAAGUUUCUUUUUU